rnacentral:ncRNA from 1 species
UCUAGUCAUGUUUUCGUUUUAGUCGUGGUGAUCGCCCGGGCGAAACACAAGUCGGCGAUUCAAGGCAUGAGUGCGGGCACCUUAAGAGUGCUUGUUGAAGGAAAGGACCAGAGGUAGAUCGAUCCUCAGAUCGUAGGAUCACAGUACCCCUCAGUGGCUCCAGUCAGGAAAGUAGUUGGUGAGGCAAUACAUUACCAAGGCGAUGAUCAGUAGCUGGUCCGAGAGGAUGAUCAGCCACACUGGGACUGAGACACGGCCCAGACUCCUACGGGAGGCAGCAGUGGGGAAUUUUCCGCAAUGGGCGAAAGCCUGACGGAGCAAUGCCGCGUGGAG